UAGGGAAUCUUCCGCAAUGGACGAAAGUCUGACGGAGCAACGCCGCGUGAGUGAAGAAGGUUUUCGGAUCGUAAAACUCUGUUGUUAGAGAAGAACAAGUAGGAGAGUAACUGCUCCUACCUUGACGGUAUCUAACCAGAAAGCCACGGCUAACUACGUGCCAGCAGCCGCGGUAAUACGUAGGUGGCAAGCGUUGUCCGGAUUUAUUGGGCGUAAAGCGAGCGCAGGCGGUUUCUUAAGUCUGAUGUGAAAGCCCCCGGCUUAACCGGGGAGGGUCAUUGGAAACUGGGAGACUUGAGUGCAGAAGAGGAGAGUGGAAUUCCAUGUGUAGCGGUGAAAUGCGUAGAUAUAUGGAGGAACACCAGUGGCGAAGGCGACUCUCUGGUCUGUAACUGACGCUGAGGCUCGAAAGCGUGGGGAGCAAACA
rnacentral:rRNA from 1 species